AACGAACGCUGGCGGCGUGCCUAACACAUGCAAGUCGCACGUGAAAGUCCUUCGGGAUGAGUAAAGUGGCGCACGGGUGAGUAAUGCAUAGGAACGUGCCUUUAGGUGGGGAAUAACCACGGGAAACCGUGGCUAAUACCGCAUGAUCUGGAAACAGUAAAGAUGGCCUCUAUUUAUAAGCUAUCGCCAAAAGAGCGGCCUAUGUCCCAUUAGCUAGUUGGUAGGGUAAUGGCCUACCAAGGCAACGAUG
rnacentral:rRNA from 1 species